AUUGAACGCUGGCGGCAGGCCUAACACAUGCAAGUCGAGCGGAUGAAGGGAGCUUGCUCCUGGAUUCCGCGGCGGACGGGUGAGUAAUGCACAGGAAUCUGCCUGGUAGUGGGGGAUAACGUCCGGACACGGGCGCUAAUACCGCAUACGUCCUGAGGUAGAAAGUGGGGGAUCUUCGGACCUCACGCUAUCAGAUGAGCCUAGGUCGGAUUAGCUAGUUGGUGGGGUAAAGGCCUACCAAGGCGACGAUCCGUAGCUGGUCUGAGAGGAUGAUCAGUCACACUGGAACUGAGACACGGUCCAGACUCCUACGGGAGGCAGCAGUAGGGAAUAUUGCGCAAUGGGCGAAAGCCUGAUCCAGCCAUGCCGCGUGUGUGAAGAAGGUCUUCGGAUUGUAAAGCACUUUAAGUUGGGAGGAAGGGCAGUAUGUUAAUACCUUGCUGUUUUGACGUUACCAACAGAAUAAGCACCGGCUAACUUCGUG
rnacentral:rRNA from 1 species